rnacentral:rRNA from 1 species
UGGGGGAUUUUGCACAAUGGGCGCAAGCCUGACGCAGCGACGCCGCGUGAGGGAUGAAGGUUUUCGGAUCGUAAACCUCUGUCAGAAGGGAAGAAACCGCACUGUGCUAAUCAGCAGUGCCUUGACGGUACCUUCAAAGGAAGCACCGGCUAACUCCGUGCCAGCAGCCGCGGUAAUACGGAGGGUGCAAGCGUUAAUCGGAAUUACUGGGCGUAAAGCGCACGUAGGCUGCUUUGUAAGUCAGGGGUGAAAUCCCACGGCUCAACCGUGGAACUGCCUUUGAUACUGCUUAGCUUGAAUCCGGGAGAGGGUGGCGGAAUUCCAGGUGUAGGAGUGAAAUCCGUAGAUAUCUGGAGGAACAUCAGUGGCGAAGGCGGCCACCUGGACCGGUAUUGACGCUGAGGUGCGAAAGCGUGGGGAGCAAACAGG